UACGUAGGGACCGAGCGUUGUCCGGAUUCAUUGGGCGUAAAGAGCUCGUAGGCGGCUGUUCAAGUCGAACGUGAAAACUCGGAGCUCAACUCCGAGCCUGCGUUCGAUACUGGACGGCUAGAGUCUGGUAGGGGGAUCGUGGAAUUCCUGGUGUAGCGGUGGAAUGCGCAGAUAUCAGGAGGAACACCGGUGGCGAAGGCGGGAUCCUGGGCCAGUACUGACGCUGAGGAGCGAAAGCGUGGGAGCAACAGG
rnacentral:rRNA from 1 species